GUGCUCGCUUUGGCAGCACGUAUACUAAAAUUGGAAUGGAAUGAUACAGAGAUUAGUAUGGCCCCUGAGCAAGAAAGACAUGCAAAUUCGUGAAGCAUUCCAUAUUAAA